AUGAUAGAGCAAAUUCAAUGAGGAAAUUGUUCUAGGAGGAUAUGAAAUCUCUUCAUUUAGGUAGUACAUCAGAGAUGUGACUGCAGCCUCAAGAGGAUUUCUAGCUGAGCUGUGAGUGUAAAGGCUAGAGGCAGUAGUCAUUGGUUUCUAUGUGUGGAAUUUAUCUAGAAAGACUUCAGAGAUUGCAACAUACAUUUAAGGGACAUUUUAAAGUUAAACAGCAAUGUUCUUGCAUGUCCCAGGUUUCUGCAAAUCUCCAGCACAUGGAGGGAUACCUAGAAAAGAGAGACCAGCUCCUUCCAGGAAGACAACAGCCAAGUUCAAGGUCUUGGAAAUCCUUCUACGUAAAACUUGAUGGAUUAAAGCUUGUUUUCUAUAAUGAUGAAAAAGAAGCAUCUGAGGUAAUUUGGGUUUUGAAUCUUUUCUAGUAAUCUCUGCAUUUAUCUACGUAAAAAUGUAUUUAAAAGAAAAUAGAGGUACAUUUGCUUUGGUUUGGGUCUGGGGUAAUCAGUUCUUUUUCAAAUGUCAGCUGAGUGAAAAUUCAACAAUUGUUCAACUGCCACCAACUCUAAGACAGAAUAAUAAGCUCUCCGAAAUUUUCAGGUAUAUUCCUUGAAAGAAAUAUCUUAUUCAGGAAUUGCCUUCAAGAUACAAUGCAGUGUUCUUCUGUGCUUCUUCCUGUUCUGUGAUCUUAGUUAUAAAGUUAGAAGCAGAACACAGUGUGUGUGUGUAGUCAGCCUGCAGGUUAGUAUGAAUUUGAAUCCUGGCAGAAAAGUUGCAGAAGACAUUUUGUUCUAAUUUUAUCCUCCUUCAGAAUGUACCCACAGUCCUGUCCCUCGGCAUUCCUGGUGCCAAAUGUGAGAGGCUGAUAAAUUACAUCAGAAAAGAGAACACCUUCAUGUUGCGGCUGAGAGAUGGGGCAGAGUAUUUCUUCGCAGCACCUUCUCGGACACUGAUGGAGGACUGGCUGCAAUCACUACAGAAUAAUAUAGGACACAGUAACAAGUCACAUCCCACAGCAACGGUGCAGCGUUUUGCUCCAAACACAGAGACCUCUCAGACAAGGCUGUGGGACUUUCCAGACAGAGACUCUGCUGAAAGAGUAAACAGCAAAAGCUCACUCAUAAGGAGAACACCUUCCUUCAAAAUCAAACCAGAGAGAGAGUCUGCAGCCUUUUCCAGAGAUUAUAAGGAAGAUGGGACUGGAGUGACACGAGCCUCUAUCACCACCCUAAGCCUAGAACAAGGUGGUGAUAAAACAAGACUGCUUCCAUCUGUACUAGAAGCAGGAAGAGAAAAAUGACAUUUGCCUCAGUGAAUGCCAGACCCUUCACCAUUGUAUCUUAACCCAGCCCUCUGGAAAUGUACUGAUAUGUUUUAAGUUAAUCACUACAUUUGGAACUCAUUUUAAUUAUCUAUUAAAUCUAGUAAAGCCACUAAAUGUAAUUAAACAGGACUGCAUCCGGUAUCCUUUUGUGUGUACAAUGAUUCUAUCAUUUUUCAUAUCACCCAAGUGAUACCUACUCUAAGUUACCCAGUGGAAGAGUAGAGGGGCCUUUAAGCCAGACAGCUCAAGUUAAUUGACUCUGCAAGACAGAAAUGGGGAGCACUGAGCAGAGCACGAGAUGCAAGGUGUGAAUGAAGAGCAGCCACCUGCAAGUAGCUUUGCAGAUAACAACAGGUAAGAUUUAAGAGGGUUGGAUGGUCUGGACAGAAGCAGAAGUCUCAAAGGGAACAUUGGUUAUAUAAUUCCUGAAGAGUUUCGUGCUCUCCACAGUUUUUCAGUUUUACAUUAACCAACAAUUCCCUAUUUGCCAAUUCUUUCUGGAUGAGGUUACCAGGAAAAAAAAGCCUGUGGUGUUACUUAUUUUUCAUGGAAUCUGAAACUAAAACAAUGUGUACAAUCAGCUUUUCAGUGUAAAACGAGAGAAAAAGUAGGAUAACAAGAAGGAAGUCUAGUAUCCAGACCAGUCCAUUACAUCUAUUUUUCUCCACAUGACCACAUACCCAGUCAUUUCACCCCCUAGUGAACUUCUACAUCAUUGAUAUUUACAUGGUUGAAGAGCAAAGAAUAGCUAAAUGAACUUUAGCAGUUCCUGCAACAUCACAAGUCUGGGCUAUGGAUGAGGAGCAAAGGGUCCAGGAGAAAAGGUCUUUCUAGCUGCCUGGUGCUCCUGUCACAUUGACAGUCUCCUGUCACUAAUAGGCUUUGAUUCCUUUCCAUAUGUCGAAUAAGAAAACUGAAUCGAAGUAAUGAAGACCACUCUGCAACUUUGUACUGUGAGGGUCCCCUUUCAUUUUCCUGUUAGCUAGGCUGUUAGCCUCCAGGCUACCUCAGCCCAGCUUCUAGCCGUCAAAGCAGGGAUAAGGAACUGGAACAAAUCAGGAUGAAAACUUGGGCAAUAACACUAUGACAUUGCUAAAUCAAGUGGAUGGGUUUGUUGAACUGAAUCUUUUCCUACAGAAGGCAGACAGGACCUUUUUGACAGACAGACAUGUGCACACCCAUACACAUGCCUGCACAUGCAUGUACUUGUGUGAGGAGACACCCAUGUUCCAAAUUCGUCAUCCCACCAGCGAUCCUGUAUUAGUUGUACUUUUUCAGUAGCUAAGACUGAGGGC
rnacentral:lncRNA from 1 species